GGCAAUGCAUGGCGUAGUGGUCUGAAUGUUGGACUACCACUCUGGAGACCAGGGUUCAAUUCCCAGCUCAGCCA
rnacentral:tRNA from 1 species